rnacentral:rRNA from 1 species
AGCGAACGCUGGCGGAAUGCUUAACACAUGCAAGUCGCACGGGGGCUUCGGCUCGAGUGGCGGACGGGUGAGUAACGCGUAGGAACGUGUCUUGGGGUGGGGGAUAACGCUGGGAAACUGGCGCUAAUACCGCAUAUGGGCUGAGGCCCAAAGCCUUCGGGUGCCUUGAGAGCGGCCUGCGUCCGAUUAGCUAGUUGGUGGGGUAAAGGCUUACCAAGGCUACGAUCGGUAGCUGGUCUGAGAGGACGAUCAGCCACACUGGGACUGAGACACGGCCCAGACUCCUACGGGAGGCAGCAGUGGGGAAUAUUGGACAAUGGGCGGAAGCCUGAUCCAGCAAUUCCGCGUGGGUGAAGAAGGUCUUCGGAUUGUAAAGCCCUUUCGACAGGGACGAUGAUGACGGUACCUGUAGAAGAAGCCCCGGCUAACUUCGUGCCAGCCGCCGCGGUAAAAC